GAAAUAGAAAUAAAAAAGAGAUGAAUAAAAAGAAAGAUAAAGAAGAAAGUGAAGAGACGAAGAACAAAGAAAACUCUUCUUCUUCUUCUUCUUCUUCUUCUUCUUCUCCGUCUAGUAGCAUGAAGAAAGGGUUUUUAGGGUAAUAAAUGAAGUUAAAAUGCCGAAUACUUGAUUGAAAGAAAGAUUAUAUUAUCAGUAAGAUUUGCUUUGUGUUGAGUUGUGUUAUAUGAAUAGUACGGGAACACCAUUUGUGU
rnacentral:ribozyme from 1 species